UCUAAUUCUAUUUAGGCCUACUAUCAACUUAAACAAUAUGUUAUCAAGUGUCAGGACAAGUUUAUAAUUUUAUGUACUAUGUAAACGCUGUGUAAUGAGUUUGAUGGGCGCGCGCGUUGAACAUUCGACGCGCAUUUAAACUGGAGUGGAGGGAGUUACCAUGGAAACGGGGCGGCAACUCAGCUGACAAGUAGCAAAUCUCUCCGUCUCUCACUGUUGUUUUUACUGCUUUCAGGUAAGUUUAGUCCCUAAAAUUACACAAAUAAUACAUACAACUUUUCCUGACACUUUCUUACAUGUAAUUGACACGCUUCUGUUGAAUAUUUACUUUACAGAAAUGGUUCAGUGUCAUGGGGAUAAGUCCUUUAGCAUCACAACCGUGAGCUAACAGAGGCUAACUAUAAGAGCAGAGUUGGAGUGGACCUCUUGUUGAAGAAUUUCUCCAGGCACUAUGAACCAUCUGACUAAUGCUGUCAUGAAACGCCAUGAAAAGGCAACUGCUGGACACCUGGGACAGGCCAUCAAUUCCAAGUUGGCGGAACUGAGGUUUCAACUGAAGAAAAAGGAGAACUGUUAGAGUUUAGAGUUGUCUAAUAGAGAGGGUGAAGGAAGAACAUCCAA